rnacentral:misc_RNA from 1 species
UUGAAGAGAAUAUUUUAGAGGUCACAAAAGUGGUUUCUACCUUGUUUAAAUGCCAAGUUUCUUUUCUUUGUCCUGUCCUCUAAAAGGCCCUAUAUAGGCCUUGCAAUCUGUCUUUGUAUUCUGUGGUGAUUGAUUAUAUUUUUAAUGUACAAGAUGGUACGAUUUGUAGGGGAAGGGAAAUGUACUCAUAAUUUGAUUUGAUGAUG